rnacentral:rRNA from 1 species
AGAAUCAACGCUGGCGGCGUGCCUAACACAUGCAAGUCGAACGAGAAAGUGGAGCAAUCCAUGAGUAAAGUGGCGCACGGGUGAGUAACACGUGACUAACCUACCCUUGAGUGGGGAAUAACUUCGGGAAACCGAGGCUAAUACCGCAUAACACCUACGGGUCAAAGGAGCAAUUCGCUUAAGGAGGGGGUCGCGGCAGAUUAGUUAGUUGGCAGGGUAAUGGCCUACCAAGACGGUGAUCUGUAUCCGGCCUGAGAGGGCGCACGGACACACUGGAACUGAAACACGGUCCAGACUCCUACGGGAGGCAGCAGUGGGGAAUUUUGCGCAAUGGGGGAAACCCUGACGCAGCAACGCCGCGUGGAGGAUGAAGUCCCUUGGGACGUAAACUCCUUUCGAUCGGGACGAUUAUGACGGUACCGGAAGAAGAAGCCCCGGCUAACUUCGCGCCAGCAGCCGC